AUCAGGUGGUUAUUGCAGCGGGGUCCCACCUCUUCCCAUUCCGAACAGAGAAGUUAAGCCCGCCUGCGCCGAUGGUACUGCAAUGCAAUGCGGGAGAGUAGGAGGCCGCCACUU
rnacentral:rRNA from 1 species